CAAGUGUAGUCAUUCAAGUGAGGUGGCCUUCUUUAGUGACUGGCGUCUCUCUACUGCCGCUGACACCCUGAACCAGCGCGCCUUAAGUGUCUCCUCUCCAGCAGGCGAAGCGUCCUGACCUUUGUGUGUUUGCUUUCUCGUCACUUCACAACCUUGUCACUCAAGCGCCACACAGUAGCCUCCACUUCACUGCUGAGGGGGGAAAGGCCACCAAUGACGGCCACCAGGGGAUGUUGACUGUUGCUGUGCUGUUGGACUUGGUGUCUCUGUUUACAACGCCUGGAGCAUAAGUUACGCCUCUGCCAGCAUCCUACGGAAAUAUUCUCACACAUCUUUCUCUGGGGA